AUUGAACGCUGGCGGCAUGCCUUACACAUGCAAGUCGAACGGCAGCACGGGUGCUUGCACCUGGUGGCGAGUGGCGAACGGGUGAGUAAUACAUCGGAACAUGUCCUGUAGUGGGGGAUAGCCCGGCGAAAGCCGGAUUAAUACCGCAUACGAUCCACGGAUGAAAGCGGGGGACCUUCGGGCCUCGCGCUAUAGGGUUGGCCGAUGGCUGAUUAGCUAGUUGGUGGGGUAAAGGCCUACCAAGGCGACGAUCAGUAGCUGGUCUGAGAGGACGAUCAGCCACACUGGGACUGAGACACGGCCCAGACUCCUACGGGAGGCAGCAGUGGGGAAUUUUGGACAAUGGGCGAAAGCCUGAUCCAGCAAUGCCGCGUGUGUGAAGAAGGACUUCGGGUUGUAAAGCACUUUUGUCCGGAAAGAAAUCCUUGACUCUAAUACAGUCGGGGGAUGACGGUACCGGAAGAAUAAGCACCGGCUAACUACGUG
rnacentral:rRNA from 1 species